GACGAACGCUGGCGGCGUGCUUAACACAUGCAAGUCGAACGGAAAGGCCCUGCUUGCAGGGUACUCGAGUGGCGAACGGGUGAGUAACACGUGGGUGAUCUGCCCUGCACUUCGGGAUAAGCCUGGGAAACUGGGUCUAAUACCGGAUAGGAGCCAUUUUUAGUGUGAUGGUUGGAAAGUUUUUUCGGUGUAGGAUGAGCUCGCGGCCUAUCAGCUUGUUGGUGGGGUAAUGGCCUACCAAGGCGGCGACGGGUAGCCGGCCUGAGAGGGUGGACGGCCACAUUGGGACUGAGAUACGGCCCAGACUCCUACGGGAGGCAGCAGUGGGGAAUAUCGCACAAUGGGCGCAAGCCUGAUGCAGCGACGCCGCGUGGGGGAUGACGGCCUUCGGGUUGUAAACUCCUUUCGCUAGGGACGAAGCUUUUUGUGACGGUACCUAGAUAAGAAGCACCGGCUAACUACGUG
rnacentral:rRNA from 1 species